rnacentral:rRNA from 1 species
CCUACGGGGCGCAGCAGUGGGGAAUAUUGCACAAUGGGGGAAACCCUGAUGCAGCGACGCCGCGUGAGUGAAGAAGUAUUUCGGUAUGUAAAGCUCUAUCAGCAGGGAAGAAAAAAGACGGUACCUGACUAAGAAGCCCCGGCUAACUACGUGCCAGCAGCCGCGGUAAUACGUAGGGGGCAAGCGUUAUCCGGAUUUACUGGGUGUAAAGGGAGCGUAGACGGCGCGGCAAGUCUGAUGUGAAAACCCGGGGCUCAACUCCGGGAGUGCAUUUGAAACUGUCCAGCUAGAGUGCAGGAGAGGUA